CUGGCAGUUUUCGUUCUUCAAUGUGGCGGCUUAGCCAAGCUCCAUCAUCCCUCUCUCGCAGUUUAUAGCUUCUCUCGGUUAUCCUGCAUCGGAAAUGAUUUAGGUAGCUAAGGACGGAGAAACGGGAAGAAAAUUUGGCCUUACUGAUGCAUUUUGGGGUUCUGGCACGGUGGCGCCAGCAUCUCUCUAGCGGCUAAACUCUCCUCUAGCUGCCCUUCUUCUUCUUCUUUGGUAACCUUGUGUCGGCUAAGUUUUGGGGCCGACUGAAGAGAGAUUUAAAUACCUCUCUUCCCCUUAUCCUGAUCGUUCAUUUGGGUCGAUGUGGAGUAAAGAAGUCCGUUUGAUCGAGCUUAUUCAGAGAAUCGAUCUGGACCCUCCGUUUAAGUUUGUGUGGUGCAACAGUAGUAGUUCGAUCGGGCUUAUAUGGGAAACUGAUCUAUGUUGCUCACGCACGGGGGGAGUGGACACGAGCCAUUCGAUCUUCCUGGCACGUGGAUUGCCAGUGUAUACUUCCUGUGUAUAGCACAUGUUGAUGUGGCCGCCAUGCGGCGUGCAGCAAUUCGCUGCGCUACUGACAGGGCAUCCACGUGGCCCAUUUUUUUUUCUUUUUGUGAAAUGAUUCUUGUUUUUGAAACAUGUUCAUCUUUAUUUACCGUUUGAUCAUAGUU
rnacentral:lncRNA from 1 species